rnacentral:rRNA from 1 species
UACGGAGGGAGCUAGCGUUGUUCGGAUUUACUGGGCGUAAAGCGCACGUAGGCGGCUCAGCAAGUCAGGGGUGAAAUCCCGGGGCUCAACCCCGGAACUGCCCUUGAAACUGCUAAGCUAGAAUCCUGGAGAGGCGAGUGGAAUUCCGAGUGUAGAGGUGAAAUUCGUAGAUAUUCGGAAGAACACCAGUGGCGAAGGCGACUCGCUGGACAGGUAUUGACGCUGAGGUGCGAAAGCGUGGGGAGCAAACAGG